rnacentral:lncRNA from 1 species
GCACCGUGUCAUCAAGCUUCAGGUGCAGAUGCGGCUGCAGUACGUAGCUGCAGCUUGCAGCCAUGUCCCUGGCAAGGCAUCGAAGUCCUUGAUGGCCAGAAAGGCUGCCAUCGAUCCACCAGGACAUCACCGUGUAGACGAGCUGCAUCUAAGAGAGAGAAAAAUAGACACAGGAGAUUAGUGCUAAACACACAACUGUACUAGAUCGAAGCCAUCUCGAUCCCUUGCUGUGGUGCUUUGGCAUGCACGAUGGAUUUGUCAUAUGUAUAAUGUGCGCUGGACGAAGAUCAAGUGCAUGUGGAAUCACCAAGCCGGAGCAGAGCGUCGCUCCUGCAGGCCACCACCGCCUUGGGCGCGUUCUUGUCGCUGCCAAGCACCUGGCCGGCUGGCCCUCGCCAUGGGCGCCGCCGUCGGGUCGCGCUUCCCCUGCUUCUCUCGUGUUGUAAAAAGAAAGAUAGGAAAGAGAUAUCGAUAUACCAGCUUGCAAGGGAGAUAUGAAUGCCGAU